rnacentral:rRNA from 1 species
AUUGAACGCUGGCGGCAGGCCUAACACAUGCAAGUCGAACGAGAGGCGGACGGGUGAGUACUGUCUGGGAAACUGCCCGAUGGAGGGGGAUAACUACUGGAAACGGUUGCUACUACCGCAUACCACUCGAUGUGCCCAUAUGGGAUUAGCUAGGAGGUGGGGUAACGGCUCACCUAGGCGACGAUCCCUAGCUGGUCUGAGAGGAUGACCAGCCACACUGGAACUGAGACACGGACCAGACUCCUACGGGAGGCAGCAGUGGGGAAUAUUGGACAAUGGGCGCAAGCCUGAUACAGCCAUGCCGCGUGUAUGAAGAAGGCCUUCGGGUUGUAAAGUACUUUCGGCAGGGAGGCGUUACUCGCAGAAGAAGCACCGGCUAACUCCGUGCCAGCAGCCGCGGUAAUUC